rnacentral:rRNA from 2 species
GGCGCGAGCAGGUGCGAAAGCAGGUCAUAGUGAUCCGGUGGUUCUGAAUGGAAGGGCCAUCGCUCAACGGAUAAAAGGUACUCCGGGGAUAACAGGCUGAUACCGCCCAAGAGUUCAUAUCGACGGCGGUGUUUGGCACCUCGAUGUCGGCUCAUCACAUCCUGGGGCUGAAGUAGGUCCCAAGGGUAUGGCUGUUCGCCAUUUAAAGUGGUACGCGAGCUGGGUUUAGAACGUCGUGAGACAGUUCGGUCCCUAUCUGCCGUGGGCGCUGGAGAACUGAGGGGGGCUGCUCCUAGUACGAGAGGACCGGAGUGGACGCAUCACUGGUGUUCGGGUUGUCAUGCCAAUGGCACUGCCCGGUAGCUAAAUGCGGAAGAGAUAAGUGCUGAAAGCAUCUAAGCACGAAACUUGCCCCGA